rnacentral:rRNA from 1 species
AUUGAACGCUAGCGGUAUGCCUUACACAUGCAAGUCGAACGGAGUGGCGAACGGGUGAGUAAUGUAUCGGAACGUGCCCAGUAGCGGGGGAUAACUACGCGAAAGCGUAGCUAAUACCGCAUACUAUUGGAGCGGCCGAUAUCGGCUUAGCUAGUUGGUGGUGUAACGGCCCACCAAGGCGACGAUCCGUAGCUGGUUUGAGAGGACGACCAGCCACACGGGGAUUGAGACACGGCACAGACUGCUACGGGAGACAGCAGUGGGGAAUGUUGGACGAUGGGGGAAACCCUGAUCCAGCCAUCCCGCGUGUGCGUAGAAGGCCUUAGGGUUGUAAAGUACGUUCAGCGGGGAGGCGUUACCCGCAGAAGAAGCACCGGCUAACUCCGUGCCAGCCGCCGCGGUAAUAC